AUGGCUUACUCGAUGUUGAUUUGGUCGGAUAUCUUGCAGACCAUCCCGCAGCAAUUCAAGAAGAGCUAUCUCCCAUGGUUUGAUGAGAUGAUCUUUCUGGUGGAUGAAGAGGAUGGGGAGUUUCCCAUGCCUUACAUGGCGCAACAUGGUGCCAUCGGCUCUGGGUGGAACUUGUUCGCCAUCGGUCACAAGCUGGCUGAUGGUGAUUGCUUGGUGUUCCAGCAAGUCCAGAGGACAAAGUUUAAGAAAUGA
rnacentral:rRNA from 1 species